GUCACUUUCCGUUUCCGGUUAAAAUGGCGGCCGCCGGUGCUUGUGAAUCGGCGCCGAACAAUAAUAAUAUUAACAAGACCAAGCCUGAACGGGAAGAUACGGUUACGCUGUCCGGUUCGCGAGAUGUUCCGGUCGGACGUGACCCGGUCGUGUCUCUGCUGUCCCCGGUGAGCGGACUCCAGCCGCUCUCCUGGUCCGAGGACCACCGCCUGGCCGUGGGCACCUGCGGCUCCCUGACGCUGCUGGAGCUGCUCUGCGACAUCCACAGCAACAAGCAGGAGCUGACGCUGCACCGGACCUCCAUCCCGGUACCGACGGAAGCACACAGGAUUCGGGUGGGAUCGCCAGCAGAGGUAGCAGAAGCGAUGGAGAAGUUCUCCACCCACCCAGACCCCACGGUGAGGCAGGAAUUUCUGGCAGACGCUGUGAUCAACCCGUCAGUCGGUGCACGCACGGGAGUGAAAUACUCCAGCUGGUCGCCGAUAGGCUGCGACUCCACUGGAUGCUGUCUGCUGGCUUGUCUGACGCUCGACAACAGACUCACCGUGCACAGGAGCCACAAGCACCUGGAGUGGACCACGAUGGUCGAUGUCUCCAAAAAGUACAGCGAGAGGCUUAAGGAGCGAGGCUACGCUAAAAAGGACAACAAACCUCCGGAGGCAAACCUGCUGGACUUUGAUGAGCUGCAGCGGCGCUUCCGUAUGCAGACGCCUCUGAGGAUGGAGUGGUCAAGCGUUUACUCUAUGACGCACGUUCAGCAGGACAACUCCUGCGUGAAUGUGGACAUGGUCCUCCUCGCUGUUCUGAUGGAAAACGGUGACCUCGUUUUGUGGAAGUUCUCGUUGCCGUUCACGAAAGGCGAAGACGUGGAGUUUUACGACUUGGUUGAGUCCGGCGUGACUCGCCCCAGUGACCUGGCCUGGUGGGAGUACGAAAACGAGGAUCGACGGAUGAGCGGCCUCAUCAUCGGCAGCGAGGUGGGACCUGUGAAGAUCAUGCCGGUCAACCUGUCCAAAGUGAAAGGCUACUUCACCGUCCGGCAGCCCAUCGUCCUGUGGAAGGAGUGCGAUGAGAUUCCCGUUGAAAACAUCAAAUGCGUCCCGCUGAUCCACCCCAUCCAUAAAACCAGCUGCAGCCUCAUCGUUGCCUCGCGAGGUUGCUACAUCUUCUGGUCUUUGCUCAUGAUCUCACCAGCUGGACUCAACGUGCACAAUUCCCACUUAGCUGGGCUGAAUUCACUUCCUGUGGUCUCUCUGACAGUCAGUCGGCACAGCGGUACGUUCUACACAUGUUCCACGGACGGGUGGGUUACAAAGCUGACGCCAAAGUUUACGGAGAGCUCUCUGGUUUUUACAGUAGAUAAGCUGCUGCAGCCCGAGGCCCUCACAGGAAGUAGGAUCCACGGUAUCUCUGUGAGCCACAACGGCGCGUACUUUGCCCUGGUCGGCACUCAGGGGUUGGUCGGGGCCUUUCACCCCAUUCGCAGAACUUACAAGGUUCACUUUUUGGCACUGAAAGCACCUGAAACUGCAGCAGUGGAACUGCUCAACUCCCCCACACAGAAUCUGUAUAGAGGGAUGGACCUGCUCGACUUGGUGAGGUGGAACGUUUUAAAAAACAAGUGCAUCCCGACGCAGCUGCAAGAAGAGCUUGAUCGGAAAAUCCAGGAACUAGACACGCCCUACUUGUGGCGCUUGAAGCUGUUUUUGUGGAGAAUUCUCCACCAGUCACUGCAUACUCCUCGGGUGAACCACAACUGGAGACCCACGCCGGCGGAGGCAGUGAUUGUUGGGCCGGAGGCUGCUGAGAAGGAAGGGGAGCUGGGCAAAGUCAAACGGAAGAAAGAAGAGGAGCGCAGGGCUGAGGUUCAGUCUCUGAUCAGAACUAUGGAGACCCAUCUGAUGAGGGCAAAUAUAAAGAAGGUGUUGGGGGUGGUUUACCUAAACACCUGGAUCGCCAAGAACAUCAGCAUACCCACCUGUGGCCUGAUGGAUUACCUGUCCAAAGAUCCCAACGACAGAGAUUCAGAGGUCCUGAUCCACCACAUCAGGAAUAAAAUGAACAAGCAGAUGUUCUUGGAGCGCUGCAGCCUCUGCCAGGCCGUGCUGCCCUUUACGGACCACAAACGGGCCAUCUGUGAAAACGGACACAUGUGGCACAGCUUCCUAAUGCACGUGUCGCGGUCUCCUCCAGGUGUGUGUUGUCGUACCAGGCCUGCCAGACGAUGACGUUCAGAAGCUGCCUGCUGCACGAUAGCAUAGCCAGACUGCCAGAGCCUGAGGACCCAGACUGGAUAAAGAAGAUCCUGCAGGCGCCCUGCUCGCUCUGCGACUCGCCGCUGAUCUGAAACCUCCGGCCGUCUCUGCGGGCUCCGGUUCACUCGCAUCUAUUGUUUUUAUUUGUCUCUUUUAUAAAACACCAAUAAAAACACUUUGAUAAUC